GACGAAGGGGGCUAGCGUUGUUCGGAAUUACUGGGCGUAAAGCGAGUGUAGGCGGUUGCCCAAGUCGGGUGUGAAAGCCUUGAGCUCAACUCAAGAAAUGCACUCGGUACUGGGUGACUAGAGGACCGGAGAGGAUAGUGGAAUUCCCAGUGUAGUGGUGAAAUACGUAGAGAUUGGGAAGAACACCAGUGGCGAAGGCGGCUAUCUGGACGGUUUCUGACGCUAAGACGCGAAAGCGUGGGGAGCAAACAGG
rnacentral:rRNA from 1 species